CAAAUACUCCCUCCAUCCGGAAAUAUUUGUUGCAGGAAUGGACGUAUCUAGACAUAUUUUAGUGUUAGAUACAUCCAUUUUUAGUCAUUUCUACGACAAGUAUUUUCGGACAGAGGGAGUAAUAU
rfam:Triticum aestivum genome assembly, contig: Triticum_aestivum_CS42_TGACv1_scaffold_515405_6BS